rnacentral:rRNA from 1 species
AAUCAACGCUGGCGGCGUGCCUAACACAUGCAAGUCGAGCGCGAAAGGGGGCAACCCCGAGUAGAGCGGCGAACGGGUGAGUAACGCGUGGGUGAUUUGCCUCCGAGUGGGGAACAACACCGGGAAACUGGUGCUAAUACCGCAUGACAUCCUCGGGUCGUACUGGGGAUCAAAGCUGGGGACCGCAAGGCCUAGCGCUUGGAGAGAAGCCCGCGUCCGAUUAGCUAGUUGGUGGGGUAAGGCCUACCAAGGCGACGAUCGGUAGCCGGCCUGAGAGGGCGGACGGCCACACUGGGACUGAGACACGGCCCAGACUCCUACGGGAGGCAGCAGUGGGGAAUUUUUCGCAAUGGGGGAAACCCUGACGAAGCAACGCCGCGUGGA